CUGAAGAGUUUGAUCAUGGCUCAGAUUGAACGCUGGCGGCAGGCCUAAGACAUGCAAGUCGAACGGUAACGACACUAGCUUGCUAGUGGUCGACGAGUGGCGGACGGGUGAGUAACGCGUAGGAAUCUACCUAGUAGUGGGGGAUAGCCAAGGGAAACUUUGGGUAAUACCGCAUACGAUCUAAGGAUGAAAGGGGGCCUCUCUUUGAAGCUCUCGCUAUUAGAUGAGCCUGCGUAAGAUUAGCUUGUUGGUGGGGUAAUGGCCCACCAAGGCGACGAUCUUUAGCUGGUCUGAGAGGAUGAUCAGCCACACCGGGACUGAGACACGGCCCGGACUCCUACGGGAGGCAGCAGUCGGGAAUAUUGCGCAAUGGGGGAAACCCUGACGCAGCCAUGCCGCGUGUGUGAAGAAGGCCCUAGGGUUGUAAAGCACUUUUAGUAGUGAGGAAGGCUCAGUAGUUAAUACCUACUGGGAUUGACGUUAGCUACAGAAAAAGCACCGGCUAAUUUCGUGCCAGCAGCCGCGGUAAUACGAAAGGUGCAAGCGUUAAUCGGAAUUACUGGGCGUAAAGCGCGCGUAGGCGGACUGGAAAGUUGGGGGUGAAAUCCCAGGGCUCAACCCUGGAACUGCCUCCAAAACUAUCAGUCUAGAGUUCGAGAGAGGUGAGUGGAAUUCCGAGUGUAGAGGUGAAAUUCGUAGAUAUUCGGAGGAACACCAGUGGCGAAGGCGGCUCACUGGCUCGAUACUGACGCUGAGGUGCGAAAGUGUGGGGAGCAAACAGGAUUAGAUACCCUGGUAGUCCAUGCCGUAAACGGUGGGCGCUAGGUGUGAGUCCCUUCCACGGGAUUUGUGCCGUAGCUAACGCAUUAAGCGCCCCGCCUGGGGAGUACGGCCGCAAGGUUAAAACUCAAAGAAAUUGACGGGGGCCCGCACAAGCGGUGGAGCAUGUGGUUUAAUUCGA
rnacentral:rRNA from 1 species